rnacentral:lncRNA from 1 species
AAAAUCUGGACUAAGAUAAUCGAUUAUGUACUUAUGAUAAUCGAUUAUGUUAUGUCAGCUGCAUGAUAAUCGAUUGUGAACUUAUGACAAUCGAUUGUGUUAAGGCAGUGUACAUCAGAUUUUUCAAAUCUGCAUGACAAUCGAUUGUGUACCCUAUGACAAUCAAUUGUGUUGAGGCAGUGUACAUCAGAUUUUUCAAAGCCACACAAUAAUCGAUUUUGAACUUAUGAC